AGAGUUUGAUCCUGGCUCAGGAUGAACGCUGGCGGCGUGCUUAACACAUGCAAGUCGAGCGAAGCGCUUAAGUUUGAUUCUUCGGAUGAAGACUUUUGUGACUGAGCGGCGGACGGGUGAGUAACGCGUGGGUAACCUGCCUCAUACAGGGGGAUAACAGUUAGAAAUGACUGCUAAUACCGCAUAAGACCACGGUACCGCAUGGUACAGUGGUAAAAACUCCGGUGGUAUGAGAUGGACCCGCGUCUGAUUAGGUAGUUGGUGGGGUAACGGCCUACCAAGCCGACGAUCAGUAGCCGACCUGAGAGGGUGACCGGCCACAUUGGGACUGAGACACGGCCCAGACUCCUACGGGAGGCAGCAGUGGGGAAUAUUGCACAAUGGAGGAAACUCUGAUGCAGCGACGCCGCGUGAAGGAUGAAGUAUUUCGGUAUGUAAACUUCUAUCAGCAGGGAAGAAAAUGACGGUACCUGACUAAGAAGCCCCGGCUAACUACGUGCCAGCAGCCGCGGUAAUACGUAGGGGGCAAGCGUUAUCCGGAUUUACUGGGUGUAAAGGGAGCGUAGACGGCACGGCAAGCCAGAUGUGAAAGCCCGGGGCUCAACCCCGGGACUGCAUUUGGAACUGCUGAGCUAGAGUGUCGGAGAGGCAAGUGGAAUUCCUAGUGUAGCGGUGAAAUGCGUAGAUAUUAAGGAGGAACACCAGGUGGCGAAGGCGGCUUGCUGGACGAUGACUGACGUUGAGGCUCGAAAGCGUGGGGAGCAAACAGGAUUAGAUACCCCUGGUAGUCCACGCCGUAAACGAUGACUGGUAGGGUGGCCGGGGGGGCAAAGGCCAUUCCGGUGCCGCAGCUAACGCAAUAAGCAGUCCACCUGGGGGGAGUACCGUUCCGCAAAGAAUGAAACUCCAAAGGGAAUUUGACGGGGGACCCCGCACAAACCGGUGGGAGCAUGUGGUUUAAUUCGAAGCAACGCGAAGAACCUUACCUGAUCUUGACAUCCCGAUGACCGCUUCGUAAUGGAAGCUUUUCUUCGGAACAUCGGUGACAGGUGGUGCAUGGUUGUCGUCAGCUCGUGUCGUGAGAUGUUGGGUUAAGUCCCGCAACGAGCGCAACCCCUAUCUUCAGUAGCCAGCAGGUUAAGCUGGGCACUCUGGAGAGACUGCCAGGGAUAACCUGGAGGAAGGUGGGGAUGACGUCAAAUCAUCAUGCCCCUUAUGACCAGGGCUACACACGUGCUACAAUGGCGUAAACAAAGAGAAGCGAACUCGCGAGGGUAAGCAAAUCUCAAAAAUAACGUCUCAGUUCGGAUUGUAGUCUGCAACUCGACUACAUGAAGCUGGAAUCGCUAGUAAUCGCAGAUCAGAAUGCUGCGGUGAAUACGUUCCCGGGUCUUGUACACACCGCCCGUC
rnacentral:rRNA from 1 species